UACGGGGGGAGCAAGCGUUGUUCGGAUUUACUGGGCGUAAAGGGCGCGUAGGCGGCCACCGCAAGUCGACUGUGAAAUCUCCGGGCUUAACCCGGAAAGGUCAGCCGACACUGCGGGGCUAGAGUGCAGAAGGGGCAACUGGAAUUCUCGGUGUAGCGGUGAAAUGCGUAGAUAUCGAGAGGAACACCUGCGGCGAAGGCGGGUUGCUGGGCUGACACUGACGCUGAUGCGCGAAAGCCAGGGGAGCGAACGGG
rnacentral:rRNA from 1 species